GACGUAGGGCGCGAGCGUUGUCCGGAUUUAUUGGGCGUAAAGAGCUCGUAGGCGGUUUGUCGCGUCGGGAGUGAAAACACGGGGCUUAACCCCGUGCCUGCUUCCGAUACGGGCAGACUAGAGGUAUGCAGGGGAGAACGGAAUUCCUGGUGUAGCGGUGAAAUGCGCAGAUAUCAGGAGGAACACCGGUGGCGAAGGCGGUUCUCUGGGCAUUACCUGACGCUGAGGAGCGAAAGUGUGGGGAGCGAACAGG
rnacentral:rRNA from 1 species